rfam:Clostridiales bacterium GWD2_32_59 gwd2_scaffold_845, whole genome shotgun sequence.
AAGAGCCGUAUGCGGGAAAUCCGCACGUACGGUUCUGUGAGGGGGUGAACCCGCGAGGGUUCACUCUACUUGAAC